rnacentral:rRNA from 1 species
AUUGAACGCUGGCGGCAGGCUUAACACAUGCGAGUCGAGCGGGGUGAUGGUGCUUGCACUAUCACUUAGCGGCGGACGGGUGAGUAAUGCUUAGGAAUCUGCCUAUUAGUGGGGGACAACAUCUCGAAAGGGAUGCUAAUACCGCAUACGUCCUACGGGAGAAAGCAGGGGAUCACUUGUGACCUUGCGCUAAUAGAUGAGCCUAAGUCGGAUUAGCUAGUUGGUGGGGUAAAGGCCUACCACGGCGACGAUCUGUAGCGGGUCUGAGAGGAUGAUCUGACACACUGGGACUGGGGAACGGCCCAGACUCCUACGGGAGGCAGCAGUGGGGAAUAUUGGACAAUGGGGGGAACCCUGAUCUAGCCAUGCCGCGUGUGUGAAGAAGGCCUUAUGGUUGUAAAGCACUUUAAGCGAGGAGGAGGCUCUUUUGGUUAAUACCCAAGAUGAGUGGACGUUACUCGCAGAAUAAGCACCGGCUAACUCUGUGCCAGCCGCCGCGGUAA